UAGGGAAUAUUGCGCAAUGGGCGAAAGCCUGACGCAGCGACGCCGCGUGAGUGAUGAAGGCCUUAGGGUCGUAAAGCUCUGUUGUACGGGAAGAAAAAAAUGACGGUACCGUAUAAGAAAGGAUCGGCUAACUUCGUGCCAGCAGCCGCGGUAAGACGAGGGAUCCUAGCGUUGUUCGGAAUCAUUGGGCGUAAAGGGUGCGUAGGUGGCUAUGUAAGUCAGUUGUGAAAUCCCCGGGCUCAACCCGGGAAGUGCUUCUGAUACUGCGUAGCUUGAAUAUUGGAGAGGUGAGUGGAAUUCCAGGUGUAGUGGUGAAAUACGUAGAUAUCUGGAGGAACACCGGCGGCGAAGGCGGCUCACUGGCCAUAUAUUGACACUGAAGCACGAAAGCGUGGGGAGCAAACAGG
rnacentral:rRNA from 1 species